rnacentral:rRNA from 1 species
UACGUAGGGGGCUAGCGUUGUCCGGAAUCAUUGGGCGUAAAGCGCGCGUAGGCGGUCAGGUAAGUCCGGUGUGAAAGUCAAAGGCUCAACCUUUGAAUGCCGCUGGAUACUGCCUGACUUGAGUCCGGAAGGGGCGAGUGGAAUUCCUGGUGUAGCGGUGAAAUGCGCAGAUAUCGCUUGGAACGCCGAAGGUGAAAACAGGUCGCUGGGGAUGUGCCGACGCUGAGACACGAAAGCCAGGGGAGCAAACGGG